AGUCGCUUUGAGCGUUAGAAAAAAAAAAGAAAAAAGUAAAAAUAAACGUGUGUGACGUGAUCAAAGAUAAAAGAAACUGCUUUUGAAGAAUUCUUGUCGGCUGGUGCUCAUUCAACAAGGCAGAACGGACAAAUCGAUUAGUUACAAAAGGCUCCUGAUGGAAAAAAACGGGCAUCACUUGUUUAGAACUAUUUUACUGCUGAGCAUUGUACCUAGCGAAAAGGUUGCUGGGAUGG